rnacentral:rRNA from 1 species
GAUGAACGCUGGCGGCGUGCUUAACACAUGCAAGUCGAACGAGAAAUGUAGACGGAUACCUUCUGGCGGAAGCCUUCAUUUCGAGUGGCGGACGGGUGAGUAACGCCUGGGUAACCUGCCUCAUACAGGGGGAUAACAGUUGGAAACGACUGUUAAUACUGCAUCAGACUACAGCAUCGCAUGAUGCGGGGGUAAAAACUCCGGUGGUAUGAUAUGGACCCGCGUUCGAUUUGCCAGUUGGCGGGGUAACGGACCACCAACGCGACGAGCGAUAGCCGGAGGGUGAGGAGGCACAGCGAGAUUGAGACUGAGACAAGGCCCAAACGCCUACGAGAAGCAGCAGAGGGGAAAAUUGCACAGGGAGGGAAAUGCUGAAGCAGCGAGGGCGGGAGAGUGAAGAAGUAGUUCGGUAUGGAAAGCUCUAUCAGCGGGGAAGAAGAGGACGGAACCGGUAAAAGAGGCCCCGGCAAACUACGG